rnacentral:rRNA from 1 species
UACGUAGGGAGCUAGCGUUGUCCGGAAUCAUUGGGCGUAAAGCGCGCGUAGGCGGCCCGGUAAGUCCGCUGUGAAAGUCAAAGGCUCAACCUUUGAAUGUCAGCGGAUACUGCCGGGCUAGAGUCCGGAAGAGGCGAGUGGAAUUCCACGUGUAGCAGUGAAAUGCGUAGAUAUGUGGAGGAACACCGAUGGCGAAGGCAGCCCCCUGGGAUAACACUGACGCUCAUGCACGAAAGCGUGGGGAGCAAACAGG